rnacentral:rRNA from 1 species
CUACGGGGCGCACCAGUGGGGAAUAUUGCACAAUGGAGGAAACCCUGAUGCAGCAACGCCGCGUGGAGGAUGACGCAUUUCGGUGUGUAAACUCCUUUUAUAUAGGAAGAUAAUGACGGUACUAUAUGAAUAAGCACCGGCUAACUCCGUGCCAGCAGCCGCGGUAAUACGGAGGGUGCAAGCGUUACUCGGAAUCACUGGGCGUAAAGCGCGCGCAGGCGGCCCCUUAAGUUGGAUGUGAAAGCCUACGGCUUAACCGUAGAACUGCAUCCAAAACUGAGGGGCUAGAGUCUGGGAGGGGAAGAUGGAAUUAGUUGUGUAGGGGUAAAAUCCGUAGAGAUAACUAGGAAUACCAAAAGCGAAGGCGAUCUUCUGGAACAGUACUGACGCUGAGGCGCGAAAGCGUGGGGAGCAAACAGGAUUAGAUACCCUAGUAGUC